GAUUUUUAUAACAAAAAGUUUAGGAAAGGAAUUUUAGGAUGAGAAAACUAAAAGUUAUGGAGAAGAAGGAGAUAAAACUAGGGUUUAUUCUAGAGAGGAAGACUAUCGAAAAUACGUGGAGGCUUAAUAGAAUUGAGGGCCCGAACCGAGGAUACUUGUGCAACUUGUCGGAAUGACCCCGAUAAGCGGAUUGGCAGGGCACGAACUGGGGAUACUCGUGCAACUUAUCGGAAUGACCCUGAUAAGCGGAUUGGAAGGGCACGAAUUGAGGAAACUCGUGCAACUUGACGGAAUGACCCUGAUAAGAGGAUAUGCGGAUUUCAUGGAAGUGGAAGUGGAAACUAAGAAGAUAGUUUAAUCAUUGUAUGGUUUUAUUGUAUUGCAUGAAAUGUAAUUUGAAAUAAUAUGUUUUUUGAAAAUGUUGUUAAAGAUGAUUAGUGAAUUCA